GCCCCUGUGAUGGAACGGGAGACAUGGCGCCCUCAAAAGGCGUUGCCGAAAGGCGUGUGGGUUCGAAUCCCACCGGGGGCA
rnacentral:tRNA from 1 species